CACCUGAAAGACCAAAGUUUGGGCAUCACAAGGGUUCCCAAACUCUGCAUCCCCAAGUCUUUUGUGUGGACCUCAUCUCCCAGAAUGCUUUACUGUUGGCCCACAGGGCUGGGGCUUCUGGGAGUUGAAGUCCAAAACACUCGGAGAACCGUUGAAUAAUAAAAUCUAAAGACGAAGCCCAGAGAGGCCCUUGGGAAGCGAGGCGGGCGGCGUGAGGGGAAAGCAGGGGACCGACCCUUGGAAAGCUGCAGCCGUCGUGUGUUUAUUUUGCUGCAAAGCCCAGGUGAAGGACCCCUAUUACUGUUGAGUAUUACAGAAUAUUAAGAAGAAGAAGAAAUACUAAGAACUAAUAAUAAUAAGUAGGUAAUA